CAGGCUUAACACAUGCAAGUCGAGGGGCAGCAUGGUCUUAGCUUGCUAAGGCCGAUGGCGACCGGCGCACGGGUGAGUAACACGUAUCCAACCUGCCGUCUACUCUUGGACAGCCUUCUGAAAGGAAGAUUAAUACAAGAUGGCAUCAUGAGUCCGCAUGUUCACAUGAUUAAAGGUAUUCCGGUAGACGAUGGGGAUGCGUUCCAUUAGAUAGUAGGCGGGGUAACGGCCCACCUAGUCUUCGAUGGAUAGGGGUUCUGAGAGGAAGGUCCCCCACAUUGGAACUGAGACACGGUCCAAACUCCUACGGGAGGCAGCAGUGAGGAAUAUUGGUCAAUGGGCGAGAGCCUGAACCAGCCAAGUAGCGUGAAGGAUGACUGCCCUAUGGGUUGUAAACUUCUUUUAUAAAGGAAUAAAGUCGGGUAUGGAUACCCGUUUGCAUGUACUUUAUGAAUAAGGAUCGGCUAACUCCGUGCCAGCAGCCGCGGUAAUACGGAGGAUCCGAGCGUUAUCCGGAUUUAUUGGGUUUAAAGGGAGCGUAGAUGGAUGUUUAAGUCAGUUGUGAAAGUUUGCGGCUCAACCGUAAAAUUGCAGUUGAUACUGGAUAUCUUGAGUGCAGUUGAGGCAGGCGGAAUUCGUGGUGUAGCGGUGAAAUGCUUAGAUAUCACGAAGAACUCCGAUUGCGAAGGCAGCCUGCUAAGCUGCAACUGACAUUGAGGCUCGAAAGUGUGGGUAUCAAACAGGAUUAGAUACCCUGGUAGUCCACACGGUAAACGAUGAAUACUCGCUGUUUGCGAUAUACUGCAAGCGGCCAAGCGAAAGCGUUAAGUAUUCCACCUGGGGAGUACGCCGGCAACGGUGAAACUCAAAGGAAUUGACGGGGGCCCGCACAAGCGGAGGAACAUGUGGUUUAAUUCGAUGAUACGCGAGGAACCUUACCCGGGCUUAAAUUGCAGAUGAAUUACGGUGAAAGCCGUAAGCCGCAAGGCAUCUGUGAAGGUGCUGCAUGGUUGUCGUCAGCUCGUGCCGUGAGGUGUCGGCUUAAGUGCCAUAACGAGCGCAACCCUUGUUGUCAGUUACUAACAGGUUCCGCUGAGGACUCUGACAAGACUGCCAUCGUAAGAUGUGAGGAAGGUGGGGAUGACGUCAAAUCAGCACGGCCCUUACGUCCGGGGCUACACACGUGUUACAAUGGGGGGUACAGAGGGCCGCUACCACGCGAGUGGAUGCCAAUCCCCAAAACCUCUCUCAGUUCGGACUGGAGUCUGCAACCCGACUCCACGAAGCUGGAUUCGCUAGUAAUCGCGCAUCAGCCACGGCGCGGUGAAUACGUUCCCGGGCCUUGUACACACCGCCCGUCAAGCCAUGGGAGCCGGGGGUACCUGAAGUGCGUAACCGCGAGGAGCGCCCUAGGGUAAAACUGGUGACUGGGGCUAAGUCG
rnacentral:rRNA from 1 species